GUGUAACAAUGCAAUAUUUAAAAUGUAACUUAUUUACAACAUGGCAAGCAAAGCAUAGUUCCAUAUAAAAACAUUUCUAAAAAUCAUAAAGUUUAUAUAUAUAUAUAUAUACACACACACACACACUAUAAAAAGGAAAAAGACCCACUCACCUAACGUCCGCACUACAACUCCCUAGCAUGAAUAUCGAGGCAUCAUGAACGAUCGUAGAUUAGAACAAAUAUU
rnacentral:lncRNA from 1 species